GAUGAAGAACGCAGCGAAAUGCGAUAAGUAAUGUGAAUUGCAGGAUUCAGUGAAUCAUCGAAUCUUUGAACGCACAUUGCGCCCGCCAGUAUUCUGGCGGGCAUGCCUGUUCGAGCGUCAUUUCAACCAUCAAGCCCUGCUUGCGUUGGGGUCCUGCGGCUGCCCGCAGGCCCUGAAAACCAGUGGCGGGCUCGCUAGUCACACCGAGCGCAGUAAUACAUCUCGCUUUGGGCGUGCGGCGGGUUCUUGCCGUUAAACACCCCCUUUUUACCAAGGUUGACCUCGGAUCAGGUAGGAAUACCCGCUGAACUUAAGCAUAUCAAUAAGCGGAGGA
rnacentral:misc_RNA from 1 species